AAACUACUGCACCAGUCAGAGGCACCAAGCCUGUCUCCAACCCAUCACCAUCCAUUAGCAGAUAUAGUAGGCAACCUUGGCCUGCUUUGGCCUUCCAGGAGAAGAUUUGGGUCCACUUGCAACAUCACAGGUCCUCAUUUUUCUUCUUUGAUGGCCAGUCAGGAGACUGGAGAAAUGCAGUUCAGCUGACUCUUGAAGUCAUUAGACAUUCGGGAGUCUGCCUCGGAAUGAGCUUUUGGCAGAGGGAUCUUGAGGCCAGUUAUGUGUUCUACUCUUCAUGAAAAAGUAAAAGCAAUUUGCAACCUAGUAAACUGAUUUCACUGCACACUCCUGAGUUAAGAACAGCAAUUUGAUUUUGCUGUAUCUUUAAGCAACAUGACAAAAGAGAUCUGUUGGGUCUCAUUGUUCUAAAAGAGAAUUUGUUAGUGAAUAACAACUGAACCUUCAGGGGAAAAA